GCCUUCCUGUGUUACUGGAUUCCUGGACCUUCUCCCCCUGGAAGGAUAAACUGAGUCACACUGAGUAGGGGAAAACCUCCAUAUGUUCUGUUUAAGUUCCCAUGGGAAAUCUGAGUGACAGUCCGCUCCAUUUCUCCUCCGGGUCCUACGCGGGUCAAACCUGUCCGCCCUCCAACAUGUGCACCUCACUCUGGAUUCACCACACAGUCUGGAUUCAAAGCCUAACAAGGCCCCCUUCAAACUUCCAGGUCACCAGCUCACUGAGUUCCACAUCCACUCCUCUGACUCCUUAAUAAACCUG